rnacentral:rRNA from 1 species
UAAUACGGAGGGUACAAACGUUGUUCGGAAUCACUGGGCAUAAAGCGCGCGUAGGCGGUCUACCCAGUUAGGUGUGAAAGCCCUCGGCUCAACCGAGGAAUUGCAUCUAAUACUAGUAGGCUUGAGGAUGGUAGGGGUGUGUGGAACUUCAGGUGGAGCGGUGAAAUGCGUAGAUAUCUGAAGGAACACCUGUGGCGAAAGCGGCACACUGGAUCAUUUCUGACGCUGAGGCGCGGAAGCUAGGGUAGCGAACGGGAUUAGAUACCCCGGUAGUCCUAGCCGUAAACGAUGGGCACUAGGUAAGGGGAGAACCUGUUUCUCUCUUUGCCGUAGCUAAUGUGUUAAGUGCCCCGCCUGGGGAGUACGCUCGCAAGGGUA